CCUAGCUUAAUUGGGUUGUUUUAUGCAUUUUGGAUUUGAUUGGUUCGUCGUCUCAAACACAUUCCCCAUUUCCAUUUUUUAUUCUAUUUGUAUGCUAUUUCAUAUAUGGACAUAUGAUCAGAAUGCUGAGGAUGAUAACAAAUUUCAGUAUUUUAGGUGUUGGAGGAGGGCUACAUUUUUUAAUAAAAUAUUCAUGGUCUGAAUGUUGCCCCCACCCCAAUUUUUUUUCUUUUUGACUUUAAAUUUAUAAAUUAGUGUCUUGUAAGUUUUCAACGAGUCAGAAAUACGUUUUGCAGAUGAACACGUGGACAUUAUUGUUGGUAAACAAUCUUUUUCAACUGUGAACUCUGAAAUUCAGACUACGUCAGUGGGGCAGAAAAAGGGAAAAAUUAAGUAAAAAUUAGCUUGAAAGGUUGAAAAUUGGAUAAAAAAUGAAGAUAACAUAAUUUCUGAAUAAUAUAACCAGUAUUAACUUUCAUUUGUUCAAAAUAUGGACGUAUUUCAAUAAUAAGAAGAGGAUUUUGUUUCCCGCUACCUACAUUUAUGCUUUGAGUUUGACAGGC
rnacentral:lncRNA from 1 species